rnacentral:rRNA from 1 species
CACGUAGGCGGACUCUUAAGUCGGUGGUGAAAUCCUGGAGCUCAACUCCAGAACUGCCUUCGAUACUGGGAGUCUUCGAGUCCGGGAGAGGUGAGUGGAACUGCGAGUGUAGAGGUGAAAUUCGUAGAUAUUCGCAAGAACACCAGUGGCGAAGGCGGCUCACUGGCCCGGUACUGACGCUGAGGUGCGAAAGCGUGGGGAGCAAACA